AGGCAGAGGAAAGCACAUGUGAGACACAAGGAGAAUGUGGCCAUCGACAAGCCGAGGAGAGAGACCACAAGAGAAUCCAAACCUCGCAACACCUUGAUCCUGGACUUCUGGCCUCCAGAAUGCCGAGGAAAUAAAUUUCUGUUGUUUAAGACACUCAGUCUGUGGUCCUCUGUUACGGCAGCCCUCGAAACUGACACGGAUACCCAAGACGCCCUUCGGUUCCACCAUCCCAGAAUCCUCUCUCCUCUCAAGGAAGGUAAAAAUACAAAAUAUCCUAAGCAACAAUGUAAGUGUUUGUAAAAUGCAUUGUAUUUCAUUAGUUCUCAAACAAUUAGCUGAUUAACAGUAACAAAUCAAGUCCUAUAUAAAGAAUUUUUUAUUCUCUUUUAAGGCUCAGUUGCUCAGUACUGAGAUCAACCUUUAAGUGCACAGAUUUAAAACUGUUUGUUUCUCAAUAAGCAACCUAUGAAACCGUCCCUGAGAUUUUACUUCACCGCAUUUCUGGAGUGACACUUAGCCGAGUGCCAGGCUCUGCUUAGACCCCACGCAAGGGACGGGAGGAACGGAAGCAGCCCAUGUGGAGGCAGCUACGGACCUGCUGGUCCCACCGGAGCGCCUCGACCUCCAGGGAGGCGCCUAGGCCCUGCAAACCUUAUGAACCAUAUCUCGUUGAGUGCCUCAGGAAUCUGAAUGUGAACAAAUGACGCCCCAGCUGUUACACCGAGUAUCAGCUCGCAGAUUCCCGAAGGGUCGGACUCGCUGGGUUGGACAGGCUGACAAACUUUAAACAAAGGCCUUCCCAAAUGUCAUGACUACUCAUCCCAGGAGAGCAAUAAUGAGAGAAAACAUCAGUAGCAGUGCUGUAACUAUUAACGGUGUUUGCAUGCCUUUGUGAUUGCACAUCACAAUAGCCAAGACUCGGGAAUUUGGGGAGGCAAGGUGCUAGCGAAAGGAUUGUCUGUUUGGGGUAGCUCACUAUGGUAAUAAGACCGGCUCUAUUAGCUGGUCAUUUAAAAACUUCUACGGAACUUGAUUGCCUUCCAGUGAAAUACUUCAUUUAAUUUCCCCAUAAUCCACUCCCUCUCCUGCCCAUCACACCUUUAAUAACCCUACGUCAUAUGCUCAUUAAUCUUUCUACUUUUACAUCAUAGAGUUUUACAUUUUAAUAUUAGAGCUGGUCAUCUUGUUAGUUUGAUUUAUUGUUUUCCUCUUUCAAAAAGUCCACCCUCUUUUUCUAUGUACUAUAAAUAACAAGCGUGGCUCCGGCUUGAAUAACGGAGCUGUAAUUCAGGCUGGGGGCUUAGCUGCCAUUCCUAAAGCCUCGAGCCGCACCCCUGGGGAUCGCGGUGUCAGUAGAGGCUGGUGAUUGAAAUACAGCCCUGCAGUCAAUCAGGAACCGUGUGCUAUUCAAAGUAUUUCUACAAAUGACAAGUUAUUAAUGCUUUGAAAUGGAAGUCAGAACUAUAGUAGAUCAGAUGUUAGUUUAAUGAGGAUAGCUAUUUUUUUCCUACUUAAUGAGGUAGGAGUCUUUUUUUCUAUUUCUUAAAGAAAUAAAUCAUGGGCAAUAAAUAAAAGAAACCUCUUAGGUAGUCAAGCUUUAUUGUUAUUGUUGUUGUUACUGUUAUUUAUAAUAUUGCACAGGGUUCUUUGCAAAACACAUUCAUUUUUAGAGUACUAAAAAAAGUAAAAAGAAUAAAACAAAAACUAGAGAGUAACCAGGGAGGGAGGGAAAGAGGAUGAACGAUUCUUUGAAUGCUGUCCUAGAGUUCCAGUCAUGUCAUAAUCAAAUUUCAUGAUUUUAGAUACCGUUGAAGAGCUAUGGAUAUGAGCACUUGGCAAAUGACAAAAUAAAAUUAGACAACUAAAUUAUAAGCCUUAAGAUGUCAAGUCAAAUAGAGCCAUAUAUCUCGGUCAUUAAUCUCAGGAAAAUAGGCCAGAGCUGCAGAAU
rnacentral:lncRNA from 1 species